rnacentral:rRNA from 1 species
UACGAAGGGUGCAAGCGUUAUUCGGAAUUACUGGGCGUAAAGCGUGCGUAGGUGGUUCGUUAAGUCUGAUGUGAAAGCCCUGGGCUCAACCUGGGAACUGCAUUGGAUACUGGCGAUCUGGAGUGCGGUAGAGGGUGGCGGAAUUCCCGGUGUAGCAGUGAAAUGCGUAGAUAUCGGGAGGAACAUCCGUGGCGAAGGCGGCCACCUGGACCAGCACUGACACUGAGGCACGAAAGCGUGGGGAGCAAACAGG